CUUAGUGAUCCGGUGGUUCUGAAUGGAAGGGCCAUCGCUCAACGGAUAAAAGGUACUCCGGGGAUAACAGGCUGAUACCGCCCAAGAGUUCAUAUCGACGGCGGUGUUUGGCACCUCGAUGUCGGCUCAUCACAUCCUGGGGCUGAAGUAGGUCCCAAGGGUAUGGCUGUUCGCCAUUUAAAGUGGUACGCGAGCUGGGUUUAGAACGUCGUGAGACAGUUCGGUCCCUAUCUGCCGUGGGCGUUGGAAGAUUGAGAGGGGCUGCUCCUAGUACGAGAGGACCGGAGUGGACGAAUCACUGGUGUUCGGGUUGUCAUGCCAAUGGCAUUGCCCGGUAGCUAAAUUCGGAAGAGAUAACCGCUGAAAGCAUCUAAGCGGGAAACUUGCCUCGAGAUGAGUCUUCCCUGGGACUUAAAGUCCCCUGAAGGAACGUUAAAGACUAUGACGUUGAUAGGCUGGGUGUGUAAGUGCAGCGAUGUAUUGAGCUAACCAGUACUAAUGAUCCGUGAGGCUUAACCUUACAACACCGAAGGUGUUU
rnacentral:rRNA from 1 species